UUUACACUCAUACUUAAAGUUGAAUUAGAAAAGAUAAAAUUGAAGAAUAUUGGCUUUAAGAUAAUUGCCCUUCUGGAAAAGAAAGGGGGAGUCAAAAAGAACUUAGCUUUCAAUUAUCUUUAGCAUCAAUAUUUCAUUUUAACUUGAUAAAAAUUCAGUUGAUAUGCUAAAAUUGCUUAAGAGCUAUUAAGAUCAAUCUUAUGCAUAAGGAUAGAACUGAAAAUUGACUAUUUUGAAUUAUGCACACUGUAUCUAGCUCUAAUCAAAACAUUAUACUUGUACAUCUGAUCAAAUACUGUGUAUAUGUUUAAAUUUCGAAUUUUGCAUAUACUCAGUAUUUUGUCAUCAUCAAAAAGGGGGAGAUUGUUGACCCCCUAAUGGAUUUUGAUGAAUACAAAAUACUAGAGUAUAAUUCCAUUUAUCUUAACAAUUUACUU
rnacentral:lncRNA from 1 species